rnacentral:snRNA from 1 species
GAAUGUACAAUUUAAGCAACCUGUCUCCUUAGCUGGUCUGGCCUGGUGGUUCCUUCUCUCCCUCCUUGAGCUUCCCUUGGUCAGAGAGGUGGCCUUCUACAUGAAGAAGGUUCAUUCUUGGACCCAGGGCAUGUGAGCUGCUGCACUUGCUUCUUCAUGAAUUUCCCAGUAGACUCAAGGUCCCUCCAUAAGAGAGGGAAGAGUAGCCAAGCUUCCAAGAACAAGAGAUCAUAUUGUACAAAAAAGGCUCAUA